UUUUUUUUUUUUUAACGUUUAUUUAUUUUUGAGACAGAGAGAGACAGAGCAUGAACGGGGGAGGGUCAGAGAGAGGGAGACACAGAAUCCGAAACAGGCUCCAGGCUCUGAGCGGUCAGCACAGAGCCCGACGCGGGGCUCGAACUCACGGACCGCGAGAUCAUGACCUGAGCCGAAGUCGGCCGCUUAACCGACUGAGCCACCCAGGCGCCCCUCGCCUCUCAAACUUUAAUAAUUCUUUUUUGAGUAGUGUCUUUCUGUUCUCCCCUCCCCCCACCCCCAUCAUUUUGAUUUCUAGUCUAUUGUCUUUCAGAGUCUGGAGUACGCUCCUGAUUUAUCCAUGACUGAAUCUUGCACUACCCUGAAGAAAACUGUGAUUUGAGUAAAUACCACACAUUGCUUUCAUUAAUAUGUCACAUUAAAUUUAAAAUCUCAAGUGCAAAUCAAAAGUUGGACAUCUUAACAUUGUUCAUACUUCAGGAAAGUCUGCGAGCUGGGAAUAAUUUUUUCUCAUGGGCCAAACACACCACACACACACACACACACACACACACACACACACGGCAGAUUCUUAUGGUUCCCAACAGUUUUGUUUUGCUUUGUUUUGUUUAACCUCCUCACCAUCAAGCAUAUAGCUCACCCCAUGAAUGAGCAGCAUUUUCUCCUCAAGGGCAGUGAUUCUGUGGGUAGGGCCACAUGUAAUUUGAAAAAGUAUAUUCUCCCACCCCAUGGUAUUGAGAAUCAUGUCUCCAAUUGCAUCAAGAGAAUAGGAUUCCUUCUGCCUGCUCUGAUGGCUUUAUUGAGAAAAGCUUGGCCAGAAUUGUCAUGCUUUGAAGUCAGCAAAAUCAGCACCUUAAUCUGUUUUAGAGAUAAAGGGUCCCAUUGGAAUUCUUUCUUGAGAGCUUGCCUGAAUAGUUACCCUCGACAUCCCUGUUUCACUCACAGCCUUUCUGCUGUCAUCAUGCACUCACCAUAGUGACCUGUUGCUAGGUCAGUGAUGUCCCCUGAUGGUACCAGGAAACCUUCCCAGCCCCUCCUUCUUGUAGAGAAACAAAGAGAAGGAUCACUAGACAAAAGCUUGAGAUUUCCUUAUGAAAACAUAAUGAUUCUCUGAGAGAUUUUAUAGCAGGCCCAGAAUAAAAACAAACAAACAAAAUAAAAGAAAACAGACAGAAAAUGUUUUCCUCAUAUUCAUUCCAUGAAGAGUUCAAAUUUCUCAACAGCAAAAAUAAGUCAGGAAGGCUUAUAAGGGAAACAGAACAAAGCAAAGCUCUUGGGGAACAAUUCUGAGAAUGGCCCACUUCCUGGCCUCGUGUGAACUGUCACCUAGGAGAAGGCACAAAGUGAGGACAUCAUUCAUGGCCUGCCUCCUAUCCUUCUCAUUUCCUCCAUGAGAAGAACAAAACUGACAUAAAGCAAAAAGAGAUGGGUACCACUCACCACGUCAGGAAAGAGAAUCAAAGAGCAAGAGAAAAGGAAGAGAGAGAGUGACUGGUCACAUCCAGGGGCCUAAAGAGAAACUCAUUUUCCAGGAGAGGAAGACUUUGUCCAGCCCCUCAUGUGGGAUCUGGGACCUCCAGGCUGCUGAGUUUGGGGCUGACAGCAGCUUCUCAGAAUCUGCCUUUUGAGAGUAAGUGAUGCUUUCCUUCCAAUAGAUUUGACUAAGCUAAUUAUGCCUUUGCAGUUGUUCCUACUUAGAGGGAAAGGGCAGCAUUUUAUCAAGAAGAUGGUUUUUGACUGCUUGUGUCAACCUGCUCUCCUCUUUUUUGAGAACUGCCAGUUUCCAGAAGUCAUUUCCUCCCGGCCUGGAGUUGCAGGUACAAUAGCACACAAAAAAGAAGAAACGAAUCAUCAUCAUCAUCAUCAUCAUCAUCAUCAUCAUCAUCCUACAUAAUAAUAACCGUGGCCAAUUCUAUGACCAAAUAGUGAACUUAUUUUUUAGCCUUCAUAGAUAUUAAUAGUUGCCACUGACACUAACUGACCUGGUUUCUCAUUACAACAAAAUUCGAUUUUUCUGGAAUGGAUUUGGGAUUCUCCCACAGAAUGGUGGGAAAAGACAGGCAGAGUAAGAACAUAGUUGGGCAGGGAAAUUUGAGUAGGUUUCUUAGCAACCUGUUAGAUUCACAUUUGAGUAAAGAAUCCGACUAAUUUGGAAAUACCUCUUAUCAGAAACAUGACUACUGUUCAGUGGAAAUGUGUGUGCCUAAAGGAGAGUUAAGCUGCUGUGGGUGACUGAGUUCACAGGCAUUGUCUCCUAUGGCAGCAUUCUGCAGAUUUAAAACAGGUGGAUGGCCAGUAAUUUGCCUUUUGUGAAAAUAACAUUCUGCUAAAUGUGAUAUUAAUAUAUCAUAUUUCUCCAAGAGCAGGCCAUGCCUUGCAGGCUUCAUCUAACGAAUUCUCCCAACAUCCCAGGAGAGCAGAACAUGAAUGGGAAACUGAUUUGUUCAUAUGUGGCCAGUAAAGUUCAUGAUUUCCUAACAGGAAAAUGUAAAUUCCCCCCAAAAAUAACAACAACAACAAAACCAACUAUACUGCCAAGGUAGGGAUUCUGGCGAGAUGUUCGAAGGGGGUGAGGUAGUAAACAAUGAUGUGAAAUUCAACUUUGAAGAAAAGUUUGGGGAGAGCUAACAGAAAGCUAGAAGGUGGGGUGAGUGAGGAAGAAAUCUUGGGUGCUUUGGGAGGGAGAGAGGUUGAGAGAGAGAGAGAGAAUGGGAAACUGACUCUGUGUGACAAUUCUUACACAAUUAGGUUAUUAUUUAUACAGAAAAUUAUGCUCCCUUGAGAUUUGGUUGAAGAGUCCUCUUCAGUCCUGUUUUUAAUGGAAACAUCUUACUGUUUAUUAAUAACAAUAGCUACCAUGUAGUGGGUGCCUACAAAGUGUGGUCGGGCUGAUUGCACAGAAUCCCUCCAACAACUGGAUGACAUCUGCAUUCCUGUUAUUCUCAUCUAACACAAGAACCUGCUGUUGAAUGACUUUCUGAAGUCUCAGGGGUGGUAAAAGUCAGGGCCAGGGGCCAGGCCCACUUCUGUCUGCUCGUAAAGCCUCUGUUCAUACCCACGGCAUUAUGUAUUCCUCGUCUUCUCAGGGCAGGUGAGGCAUAGCUAGAAGGAAAACAGAGGUCACAUUUAGAGGGGCUGAAUAAUGAGAACAACUUAUACCCAAACUUUAGACUUUAAACUGUUGACUCGAACACAGGCGCUGGUGGAAGCAAAGGGAUCUGGUAAAGAGAGAAGAAAAUCCAUAUGUGGUAAUAACACUGUGUAACUCAUUUGUGUGGAGCAUCCAGAGUUGUAAUGGGUCACGUCAUCAGUGGAGGCCCAGCCAUGUCGUGUGACAUCAUGCAUGUAGCUAUCACCGCCAUGGCCUUGGUGGUUUGUCUCUGUCAGCCACAGGGCUGAUUGAGUGGGAGAAGAGCCCAUCUCCCACCAGUGAUAGAAUUUUUUUAGACUUGCCCUGUCCAUUUGUUAAACGUUUAUUUAUUUUGAGAGAGAGAGAGAGCGUGUGCAUAUGCACACAAACUGGGGUGGGGCAGAGAGAGAGGGACAGAGAGAGAGAAUCCCAAGCAGGAUCCGCACUGCCAGCACAAAGCUCAACUCAAGGCUCGAACUCAUGAACUGCAAAAUCAUGACCUGAGUGGAAAUUGAGAGUUGGAUGCUUAACCAACUGAGCAACCCAGGUGCCCUAUCCUUGUCCAUUUUUCACAGAACUCCAUGUUAUUACUUUGUUGACCCAUGAAUUGAGCUAUAGCCAUCUUUCUCUGCUCAGGGAGUUAGCCCAAGCUGCCAAAGGGGUUCAGUUAGAAGGCAACUGGUGUGUGCCCACCCAGUGUGGCAUCCACAAGCAUCCUUCCUACCAACACCCCAGUUAAGGUUUCUCCUGUCAGAAUGAGCUCUUCUCCUGAGGGCUCCACCCCAGAGUCAUGGGGUGGCCCUAAUCUCAGGGUCUAGGUCCUGCCAUUGAGCAUUACCUCAGAUGCUCCUUGUGUUAUCUCACUGAGUAUGUUCUUUAGUUUAAGCCAUUAUGAAAAUAGAACUCAAGCAGCCUAUUUCUGCAGGCCUGAAUUUCAGGUGUGAAUCUUGGGCUUAUACUUGCUGGCUGUGAGAUUUGGGACAAGUCACUUAAAAACAGACAUACAACACCUUUCUAAAUCUUGGUUUCCUUAUCUGUGGUAUGUGGAUACCAGCAGCUAACUGAAAACCAACUUUAUUAUUUUUUUUCUAGCAUCCCAUUUGUAGGACAAAAAAAAUAAAAAACAAGAAGUCAAAUUCAAUUUUGGGGUUUCUUUUAUAAGCCAAUUUUUCAAACUCACCUGUGAAGAUUUAGCCUGAACUCCUAUGCUCCUGGAGCUACAUCUCUAAUUAUAACAUCCUUGUAGUUUCAGGUUUUAAGUUAAUGAAAAUGGUUUCAUGGAAGAUUUUUGUAAUCUUCACGUAAUCCUGUGAAGAACAAAUGCGAAAACAGACGCCUAUGGCUUUAAGAGAAACAGUCAUCCUGGAGCGUGUUGCAGGUGUUAAGGAAAAGAAUGUUUCUCGUGCCUUGGUUCAGGGGAUUCCCAAAGGCGCACUGUGUCUGCUUCCAACAGCACACAGCCUUCAAGGUAAAGAAAGUGGAUCCCAGAGUGGCUAAGAGAUGAGGCAAAACCAGGAUGGAUUUGAAUUCUCUAGGCAAAGUCUGCAAGAGGAGCCCACUGCUCCACUGAAUUCUCCUGUACAAGUUGAAGCUCAUGUGGAACAGAAUCUACAGUGAGAGAUACUGAAUGGUCCUUUUGUAUACUUUGAUCUGAAAGCUUCCCAACCUCUAAGGCAUAUUUUAAAAGUAGAACUAAAGAGAGAGACAGAGAUGCUGAGGAAACUGAGCCAUAAAGCAUGCUGUGCAGGUGAUACAUUGAAGAACCACUCAGCCCACAUCACACAUGUUCCUUAGCCUGCCUGCCUCCAUUGGAGGGCUAUCCCAAUAAAUCCAGAUUGCCUGCUGAGAUGAUCAUCAAAAAGUACUAUCUGCGAGAGUCAAGGCAUGGAAAUAACCUACAUGUCCAUCGACAGAUGAAUGGAUAAAGAAGAUGUGGUGUUUACAUACAGUGGAAUACUAUACAACCUUCAAGAAAGAAGGAAGUUCUGCAAUGUGCAACAGCAUGGGGGACCUUGAAGGCAUUAUGCUAAGUGAAAUAAGCCUGCGUGAUUCCUCCUACUCAUUCUUUAUCACAACUCUGCACAGCAUUAUGAAUAGCUAACAUUUUGCAGAUGUAGUACUCAAAGCUCAGAAUGGGUAAGAAAUGUGCCAGCCAGAGCCAUCCAGCAAGCAAGGACGGAAGCUGGGAUUCAAAUAGAUUCCGAAAGCCCCUUCUAUACUAUGCUCCCAAGGGGUUCAGGUGCCCCUGGUGCUCCAGAGGACAGGAGAGUGGGCGGAGCCUAGGAUGCUGCAGGGGGUCAGGCCUGGUCCUGAGAAAGGGCCGGGGGUCCAGGGGGAGACUUGCCCAGGGAACGCAGGGUGCUGGGAUCUCUGUACCUCCCUCCUCUAGCCCCCAAUUUUGCAUCACCACCAGACAGCUGUUUGAAAUACUACAGUUCAAUCCCCAUGACUCUCUUGGAAUUCUUCCACCAUCCCCACGGCCUCAUAGUCCCUGUAUGGGAAAUUGUGCUUUAGAGAGAUGUCGUGAAUAUUCAGGAACAGUGAUUAUAAAUCUUUUGGCAAACAGACAGUCCUAUAGAAAUGUUAAAUAACCGUAUGUUCCCAUUUAACUACAUUUAUAGCAUUUGGAUGGAACUGAGACAUUUUGCCUCUUAUUUAGGACUUAUAUUAUUCGGUAUUUGUAAAGAAAUCAUCAGCCACUUCUUACAUAAGGCAGAAGGGAAGUUCUUUUCAUCUUCAUGCCCUCUGCUCUAGAGAAGGUUUUUGUUUUUGCUUUUGUUUUGUUUUGUUUUAUUUGUUUUUGUUUUUGUUUUUCUGUCUGCUCUGAGUGCCCUGUCGUUGGUUGCGUCUGUUACAAACAAUCUCUUAAUUUUGUGACUUACACCUAUCAAAAGACUUCAUCAAUUCUUUGUCUUUUUGAAGGCAUUUAUAGGUCAUUAAAAAAAUCUAAAUUCUGUAGAGUUAGCCUUCAUUGUGGAUGAUAACAUUUAACAUGAUCUCUUUCUACAUGGUUCCAUCCUGUUGUGCAACAAUACCCUCCUCUCACCCCCAAAUUAGAGUAUGUAGCUCCAAAAUCCAAUUACCCACAUAAACUUGGACCUGUUAUCUGGAUAAAUGAUAUCCAUAAGUGUUCCAAGAAACUUUAACCUUAAUAACUUCUUAAUAAUUAAUAGCUCUAAAUUAAUCUAAAGAGCCUUUCCCUAGAGUUGCCAAAAAAGAAUACAAUUUAACUACUUUGAGAGCCUUUACUCUGUUCCCAUCCCACGCUUCCAUGAAAAGUUCCAAAGAGAUGCAGAGGAAAGGUGGAGAGUCAGAGGAGAACGAAACGAAGCGAGGGCUGGUGAUUACAAACUGUACAAUCAACCAUCCACUUCCCUGAGCUUGAGUCUGCCCUUUACACUCUUCUUAAAGCUGGAGGUACUUCUGUUUUUUUCUCUCCUCAGUGGAGGGUCCAUGAAUAGUUUCCCUCUCCUGGAAUGCCAUUAAAUUGCAAUCAUCUUCCCUCAUAAAGUCUUUCUGGAGGCCACCAGAUAGACCGUUAUCUUUGUCACCUCCUCGCUGAUACAAUCUGUAAGGGCUCUCUCAGAGCCCAAGGCUCACUCCCUGCUGGGUUAUAUCUGGUAGGCCCCAAGUACAAAGUUUUGGGGGGGUCUGGAGUUCAGUCAUGCCUCACCCAGCUCUUCUGCAUCUUUAGUAAACUAAGUUAGUACCAACAUGUCUUAAAGCAAUCAGGUCUUCAUUUACACCCUUUAAAUAUCGGUAGACAGUUAUCAUGGCCCUCAGUCCAGAAACAUGCUAACCCCUUCUGCCUUCUCCCAGAAAAUGCACACGAACAGUGUUCAUGUUGUUUUGGAAGACCUUAGAUGGCACCAAACAGAUUCUGAUUCCCUUGUCAACAGAAACAGAAAGUGAAUUUGUCUUACCCCGUGCACAGAGAAGCUUUUCUUCAUAGUAAUUUGUAGUGCCGCUGAUAAACAAUGGGGAGAUUGUCAAACAGCAAUCAUAAAGCAUAAAUAACAUUUAAUUUAAGCCGCCUUGUAUGCCGCUAAGAUGUCUUCUUUAACUUUUGUCUGCAAACUGUUUUCCUACCUCUAUUUCUUUUGGCUUUAUCUUCUGGUAAAAUGCAUAAAUCUAUACUUUGUAGCAAAUUUCACUACAGCAAACUCUGAUUCCACUGCAAGUUCUUCAAGGACAGUGAUUAUAAUAGUAAUUCCUCUGUGUGUGUGUGUGUGUGUGUGUGUGUGUGUGUGUGUGUGACAGAGAGAGAGAGAGAGAGAGAGAGAGAGAGAGAGAGAACAUGUCAAAUAAGUGAGUGAAUGAAUACAUAAGUGAAUAAAUGAAUAGAAAUUGCAAAAGGGAAUCAUCAGGACAUAGGAGAUGGUAAAAUUUAAAAACAAGGAAGAAAAUCUGGUCACAUUUCCACAUUCACUGCUGAUGUUGUAUUAUGACUGAAACCAGUCCUAAAAAGGUGUGAUGACAUGUGGCAAAUUGCCAGUUUUGGAGACGAACGGUCUUUACCUUGAAUCCUGGCUCCAUGGUCUACUGGCCUCCUAAAUCCCUCUGAGCCUCAGUUUUCUCUUCUGUAUGAAGCCAUUCAAACAGCCAUAACAUUCACCUUGCAGGAUUUAGGAUUCACAAUAGAUUAAUGUCCCAAGGGCUUGCUGCUCUGCCCAUCACAGGGAGUGCUUAAUAAAUGGUGUAAUUAUCUCUGGAUGGCAUCCUAGUAAGUGUUGAAGUGAAGAAAUUUCAUAUUUUGGCUAAAGUAUGUAUUCCACAGAUCUGGUCUCUCACCUCUCCUACUUCUUACCCAUUGUUUUUUAAUCCUUUAUGUUCAUUUUACUGAAGUAAUUUCAGUUCUCCUUUCAGCAGAGGAUUCAGAGCUUCACAAUCCCCAGAGGGGAUAAAGGCCAUGUUAAGUGAUGCCUUUGUUGUAUCUUGACCAGCUUCAGAGGGGGGCAGUGGCAGAGACCCGGGCUGUCCAGGAGCCCUGCCCCGUGCUGUAUUCGGAGUCCUCUUAUAUUACCACUGUUCCUGGUUUUUGACGAUAAGACUGCACUAGAUACGUGAAAUAAAGGACAGCGUUCCAACAAUCAAAGGAUCAACUCUCAACAUAAAUAAGAAGUACAUAAAUAAUAGUAGGAGACAGGCCAGUGAACAUUUUUCAAAUUCUAAGGGAUAUCAUUUGAAUGGUCUCUCUUCCAGAAUUUCUUAUCUGAAGUUGAAAAAAGAUUCUUGGAAUCCUUUCUGCCAAUAAAACUUGGAAGUUUUGCAACACCAACAGGGCAAGCAACUUAGACGUGAGGCUGCCGUGUUGCCUGUAGGUUCGGCCCGGGUCCCACCCUGUUUGUCCCAUGGAAGCAAAUCUGCACAACUAGGAUUACCCUGCACACCACCACAACUGACAAGAGGGCCAAGAACAGACAAAGGAGCCAGGAGUUCAAUUGUCUAAGCAGGGGUUGGAGAUGUCUCUGCAAGAUAGGCUACUUGGCAUAGUUGGGAGCCCUGGAGCUGCCGUAAGCACAGGGCACGAAGCCCCUGGAUGGAGAAAUAGCUGAGCCAGGCCCUGUGGUCAGCUGUACAAGAACUGCCUCAUUUAAGCCUCAAAAAGCCCCGUGAGUAAAGCACUGUGGCUGUUGUCCCAUUUUACAGAAGGGAUAAAUGAAUGCAGGGAUAUUAAGUGACCACCAAACUCAUACAAGGUUAGGAUUCACACUCCAGCAUAGGGCCACACUCCUAACCACUGCGCCAUCCCACCUCCUGCAGGGGGACCUUAGCAACUGGGAAAGAGGAUGCAGCUCCGUGUUAGGUGCUAACGGAACUUGGAUGAUAGCUACACAUGCCUCGUCCCAGGCCUGAGAUACAGGGCUGUCAAAAGUGCAUUUUCAGCUCAGGCAUGGUGGGUGGAGAUGUGGAGAUUACAGUAUGUUCGUGGGGAAGAGGAGAGAGACUUGGUGAGGGAUGGAAUGUGGACCAGUAAGGUGUGUGCAUAGCACAGAGACGUGUCCAUACACACCCACGCACCAGUUCACAAGAAGCCCCAGGCAAGUUGGUAGGGGUGGUUCUGCCUCUCUUCACACACACCUCUUUUUUCUACACCAAUUUCACCUUGCCCGAUUCCUUGCUUAACACAUUCUUACCUCCCUUUUGCCAUCUUCACCACCCCCCCGC